CCACCUGCCCGGGGGGGGGGGAGAAGGAAGAAAGGAGGUGGAUGAGAGUGUGGGAAGUAGGUCUUUCCCUUCUAGGAACCAGGCUCCUCUGUGAGCAGCUCUCGGGAGACCCUCGCUCGGGGCUGGAUGCUAGGAGUGAUGUCUGCCUGUAGCCAGCAACCCCUGAGUGCUGCCCGGCCCAGGGAUGGAACCGCCUGGUAAUGCCCUGCCUUUGGAAACUCCCCUCCCCCGGCCUUAGUUUCUGCCUGAAGCUGCCUGCUCCUUCCUGCUUCUGCAGCUUCCACCACCGUCCUCCCCAUUUCUCUGGCCAGGCCCAACCCCACGGACUCCCGACAGGCAUCUUGGGGAGCCUCCAGGGUGCUUGGAGAAGGCUCCCAGCUUCAUUCCUUCUUCAGCCUUUUGGUCCCUGCUCGUCCAGAGAGCCUUGACCAGGACCAGGUGCAGAGAUCAGGGUCGCCUGCCUCCUCGUGUGGUCCAGCCUCCCUGGGUGGGAGCCAGGGAGCUGCUAUCUGCCCUCUUGUCCCGCUUGCUGUGAGCAGGUCUUGCUGGUUUUCAGGGUGGGGCUGUCAGGAUGAGGGGCUGCCUGCGCAUUCUCCCCAGAGCGCUGUGGAGAGCUGGCCUUACGUGCUCAUCCCUUCGAGCCUCAAGACUACAGCCAGCGUUUCCUUGGGAACCAGUGACCCCUGACCCUUCCCUUUGUCAGAGCCCUGGAGCUCCUGGGAAUAGCCCCAUCUCCACAGGUCACUUGCUGGUCCCGAUGAACUGGUUUGGCAUUCUCAAAGGGGAUUCCCUCCUGAGAACUGUCUGCAAGCUGGAGGGUUUCUGCUCCUAGGUGCGGCCGGGUUCAGCGUGGUCCUCAUACUUCAGGCCUGCCUGUUCCUCUGCCUUUUCCAUGUCCCGCAUGUAUUGAUGGACCAGAAUUCCUCCCAUGGUGAAGCCAGGUCUGGGCAGCCUUGGUCUGAGAGCACCACAGAGGAAGCCAUACACCUCUUCUAGCAGCCUUGACCAGGAGCUGUAGAACGGGGACAACAACCUUCUAGGCGGUUGGAGAAAAAAACAACACAAAACUAUGUACCCUUCUUGCUCCAUCAAUCACUGUGCCGUGUGGCAGUUGAUACCUGAAAAAUACUUGGCUAGCGCUGUGAGGAAAUGGGAUUGGCUCAAACAUCCUCAGGGCAGUUUGGCAGUAUCUGAAGUGAGGAAAAGAUCAGAGUGACAGACUAAAACAGAGACAGAGAGACAAAGACAGAAAGAGGGGAAGAAAGAAAAGACAUACACACACUCGUGCACAUAAAUGCCCAUCUCAGCAAUUGAAAAAAAAGCACAGUAGAACAUUUAAGUAACCUAAAUGUCCCGGAUCUUAGUUCCCUGACCAGGGAUGGAAUCCAGGCCACGGCAGCGAAAUCACGGAGUCCUAACCACUCGAAUUCCCAGAGAAUGGACUAAAUUGAUUAGAAUAUUUCCACACAAUGGAAUAGACAGGACAGCUUACAAUAUUGAGCAAAUCUAUAUCAGUUGAUAUGGAAAGAUGUCCAUAAUCAAUUCAAUGAAAAAAAGUUAAAAAAAUAGUAGAUGUCGAGACUUCUCUGGUGGCUCAGUGGUUAAGAAUACACCUGUCAAUGCAGGGGACAUGGGUUCGA